GAUGAACGCUGGCGGCGUGCCUAAUACAUGCAAGUCGAGCGAACAGACGAGGAGCUUGCUCCUCUGACGUUAGCGGCGGACGGGUGAGUAACACGUGGAUACCCUACCUAUAAGACUGGGAUAACUUCGGGAAACCGGCGCUUAUACCGGAUAAUAUAUUGCACCGCAUGGUUCAAUAGUGAAAGACGGUUUUGCUGUCACUUCUAGAUGGAUCCGCGCCGCAUUAGCUAGUUGGUAAGGUAACGGCUUACCAAGGCAACGAUGCGUAGCCGACCUGAGAGGGUGAUCGGCCACACGGGAACUGAGACACGGUCCAGACUCCUACGGGAGGCAGCAGUAGGGAAUCUUCCGCAAUGGGCGAAAGCCUGACGGAGCAACGCCGCGUGAGUGAUGAAGGUCUUCGGAUCGUAAAACUCUGUUAUGAGGGAAGAACAAAUGUGUAAGUAACUAUGCACGUCUUGACGGUACCUAAUCAGAAAGCCACGGCUAACUACGUG
rnacentral:rRNA from 1 species